rnacentral:lncRNA from 1 species
AGCAGGUAUAGUAUAAAUGCAAUUAAGAAACCUUUCAAUUUGGGGCCUUUUUUUGAUUGGUUACCCACCAAAGACGCAAGGUAUUAUGGGGAUGUGAAAGUAGAGAAUUGCCUUUUACAUUUUUGUAAACACAUAGAGAUUUGAUAUGCAUGCCAAGCAUCUUUUAUUAUCAUUAUUUCAAAAAAAAAUUUAUACGUUUUCUUUUCACUGAAAAUUUUUAGUAUGUGUGAGGUAACAAGAGAAGAAAAGUUAUAGAAAUGCCCCAGCUGAUUUCCCCUUUUGAACUCAAGAAUAUAAAUAAGUAAAGUGGGAUUGGUUCUUAGCAAAAAGGAUCUGCCAACCAUCCCUUUUAAGCUUUCCAAUGUUAAAAAAAUAAUUGUAUAUUUUUCAAUAAUGUUUUGAGAACCAUGCCUGUACAGAGAGGUACUGUAUUUAACUUCUGCAGUGUGGGAUACAGCUUUGACUAGAGAAGUGUGGGCAUGCAGGCUAUGUCAACUAACUGAAACCAUGUGACGAAACUAAUGAGAAAUUGAAUGAAGUAAAUGAAAGACUACCAAGUUGUAUGCCUGAAUGAAUCUGGACCUUAAUGGGUACUUUGUGACCAAAAAGAGUGAAGCAAUGCUGGUGUGAUCUUUUUACGUCGUGUACUGUAACCUGCAGACUAGGAAAUUUAUCAUUUUUUUUGAAUGCCCGAAAGUGUUUGGAUGUUUCCUUUUUGACGGAAGAGAGUGAAACUGGUGGUGUGUCCUUACCUUGUGAACUGUACUCGUGAGAAAGAUGUAACACUGUGGAAUGGAGUGAGUAAAAGACUACCAUUGCUGUCUACACAAUGACAAGUUGUACUGUAUGCCUGAACAAGUACGGAUCUUGGUGUGUACGUUUUUGACUGAUGAGAGUGAAGCAAUAUUGUUGUGUCCUUGUAUUAAUGCCAAGUCUGAAUAGAGUGAAAACACUACCAUUGCAUUCUACAUGACAAGUUGUAUUCUUAAAUAUGUCUGGAUCUUGAGUUUUUUUGAUGAGAAAAAAGGAAUGGUGCAGCUUAGACAGUGAAACUCCUUGCGUUUUUCUUUAAAAGUUAUAGAACAAGAUACAUCACAAACUAGGCUGAAAUAUGUACUUUCCAAAAAGAGAUACAGUGUUCGUGGAAAAAGAGUGAGAAAAUAUACCAGAGUGAUCUGCGAGAAAUAUAUCUCAAACAAGACACAUGGUGUGGCAUCCUAUUCCUGAAUGGUGAAUAUACUUGAUGAAAAAGAUUUAACCAGUUCAAUGUUAUUCAACCCUGAGAAGAUACAACAUUAUUGGUGGAAGAGAGAGUGAAGGUUUACCAGAGAGUGUUCCAUGAGAAAGGUAUAAUGGUACAUGUUGUAUGGUCCGAGGCAGAGUAGAGAAGAGUACUGUCAAGUUUGUGUAAGUAUUAAAAGAAUGGUGAGGUCAACGAAUGCUGUGUAUUCUAGAGGACAACUUGGUGUGUUCCCAGAAGAGUUGUAACAUAUUGUAGUAGCGAGAUGACAGAAACUGUCUGGAAUGAUCUGUAAGUACUUGACAAUGAGAUGGUUGUGCUUUUGUGGAGCGAAUUAUCAAGGCUUCUAAAUAGACAUCUCUUUUAAAAAAAUAUUAAUUUUGAUUCAGUGAUUGUUUUAAUUGUAGGUAUCAAAAGUUAUGACAUAAUAAGCCUGAAGUGAGAUGACAUUUUACCCCCGUCUCUAGACCAUGAUCCUUUUCACACUGCUUUUGUUCUUUAAUUAUGACUUGUUCCUGUAUUCCCUAAGGAAUCAAAAAUUUUAUAUGAAAGAAUCUUAAAAACUAUUAUGGUAUGGAGUCGGGGGUAAAACGUCAUCUUGCUUCAGGCUUAUUUUUGGGUUAAAAACCCACUUUAAAAAAUUUAGCUGUAAGGAAGUUUGGAUGACAGAGCAACAAUAUUAAUUUUUUCUUUGUAUCAGUUGAAGAUCUGUUAGUUGUGUUGCAGUAUUUUACGUAUUGUGUUUUUGGUUUUUCUAAAAUCUGUUUCUGUUUUUAGGUUAAGCAUAAUGAAAAGUGAACCAAGUUAUGCUUGGAACAUCCAAAAAGUAGUGCCUCAAAAUGUUCAGAUAGCCAUUGUGCAGUUGUGUAAACAAUCUCAAUGACAGUGCAGAAAGUGCCUCCUCAGUUGCUGCUGCCUUGAAAGAACUCAUCUUGAAGGACAAUAUAUACAAUGUCAUUUAAUGGAUCAUCGUGUUAAUAUGAAGAAGAUAUUGGUGGCAUGCUACAAUGGCUGAACCUCAAGCUACCCAAUUAAACAUGUUAUAACGAUAGACAGUUACUUUGAAUAAGCCUCGGGAAAGACUACUUUAUAGGAUUAAGAAUGAUGUAGCUCUCGUGUCUUACCUCUGAAGCCUUUGGUUUUAUUCAUGUAGUAGAUACAAUAUGUGAGCAGAACUGUUUGGUAUAAUUACCCCUUAUUUUGAUAAUUAUUCUUAGGUUCUCUUGUUUUUCUCACUCCACAAAACCCAAAGCUAAAUUCCAAUUUGAUCUGUGAGUCAGCCAUGUCCUGACUUGGAUCAACCCAGAGGUUGUUUCAGGGUU